UAGCGCGGUGGUCCCACCUGACCCCAUGCCGAACUCAGAAGUGAAACGCCGUAGCGCCGAUGGUAGUGUGGGGCUUCCCCAUGCGAGAGUAGGGAACUGCCAGGCA
rnacentral:rRNA from 1 species